rnacentral:hammerhead_ribozyme from 1 species
ACCUUACUGAUGAGUGCCAAAUAACACGAAACCCGAGUCCAGGGU